GUCUACGGCCAUACCACCCUGAACACUCCCGAUCUCGUCUGAUCUCGGAAGCUAAGCAGGGUCAGGCCUGGUUAGUACUUGGAUGGGAGAAAAGAUCGACUACAUU
rnacentral:rRNA from 1 species